UACGUAGGGGGCAAGCGUUGUCCGGAUUUACUGGGCGUAAAGCGCGUGUAGGUGGGGGAGCGAAGUCCGGUGGGAAAGCCCACGGCUCAACCGUGGAAGGACGCUGGAAACUGCUCCACUUGAGGGUGAUAGAGGGAAGUGGAAUUGCUGGUGUAGCGGUGAAAUGCGUAGAUAUCUGGAGGAACACCGGUGGCGAAGGCGGCAUCCUGGACCGGCAUUGACGCUGAGGCGCGAAAAGCCAGGGG
rnacentral:rRNA from 1 species